GACGAACGCUGGCGGCGUGCUUAACACAUGCGAGUCGAACGGAAAGGCCCUGCUUUUGUGGGGUGCUCGAGUGGCGAACGGGUGAGUAACACGUGAGUAACCUGCCCUUGACUUUGGGAUAACUUCAGGAAACUGGGGCUAAUACCGGAUAGGAGCUCCUGCUGCAUGGUGGGGGUUGGAAAGUUUCGGCGGUUGGGGAUGGACUCGCGGCUUAUCAGCUUGUUGGUGGGGUAGUGGCUUACCAGGGCUUUGACGGGUAGCCGGCCUGAGAGGGUGACCGGCCACAUUGGGACUGAGAUACGGCCCAGACUCCUACGGGAGGCAGCAGUGGGGAAUAUUGCACAAUGGGCGGAAGCCUGAUGCAGCAACGCCGCGUGCGGGAUGACGGCCUUCGGGUUGUAAACCGCUUUAGCCUGUGACGAAGCGUGAGUGACGGUAAUGGGUAAAGAAGCACCGGCUAACUACGUG
rnacentral:rRNA from 1 species